AAGCUGAUACUGGAAGCAACAUUAUCCCUGAUGCAGCCUUUAUCGAGUCCACUGUACAAAUACCAAAUAAUGGUAAGACAAGUAACCCCAUAUUUCAGAUGGAUUGGGGCUUUUUUGCCUAGUCGAUUUCAGUUGCUACCUUAGUGGGUUUUGGAAGAUAUGUAUAGCUUUCUUUAUCUGUAAGUAUCUUACAAGCUUAGCAUGAUGUUUUGAAGAUGUAUAUAGCUUCUAGUCUUUGGAAACUAGCGUGUCAAGAAGCAGCAUUUGUGUGCAAGCAGCCUGCAAAUUUUGUAAAAGGGUCCAUGUGCUCUUCUGGAUAUGGCAAGUUUCCACAGAUUGUGCAAAAGCAAUACACUUUUGCAUCUCUACAAGUAAUGUAUAUUGGUAGGGAUCAGUGUUUCACCUUAUUAGUGUUGAGCUUGAAUGUUACUCUUUAGUUCGAACAUGUGUCUGUUUUUUUUUCAAAAACAUAUAGGCCAAGUUUUAGAUUUAAAAAAAAAUGAGAUCCCAAUUUGGAAUUCCAAAUCUUAUUUUUCAAUUUGAAAUCAUGAACUCAAAUCGCAUAUCCAAACAUUGUUUUGGAAUCAUGAUCUGAAAUCUUAUGUCUAAACACGUACUUCAGUAUAUUUAAAAAAAUAAGUUUUUGUUAAUUUCCCAUCUCUUUAUUUUAAUAUUCUAUACGACAUUUUUAAGACAUUAUGCAGAUGUUUGACAAAUUUACAUUUUUCUGUAACUUUAUACUUUGUGUUCAGUUAGGUUAAAGACAAAUAAAUAAAAACAGAUGAAGUAAAUUUUAUGAAUUAAUCUCUGCUUAGAAAAUAUUGUUUUUUUUAGGAAAAAAGAAGAUGCAAAAUCUUUUUUAAGACGAAAUAUAAGAUUGUUUGCUUUGUAGUCUAUGACGACUGUAAAAUGUCUUCUAACCAAAAAAAAAAAAAGAAACGUGUGAAUUUUAAAUUUUUUUUACCAUGACUUUUUAAAACAGACAGUUCACUCUAAUAUUGAUGUUUAGAUCUAUUUUAUAAUUGAAAAUUCUUAAAAAAAAAUGUAGAAUAUAAUACUACUACUUAUUAAUAUGCUCAAUUAUAUUAAAAAAUAUUUGAUUAAUGUCCAAAAAGUAAUAUCUCAAUUGUAGAAUAGUGUUAGCCGCAGCGAGAGUUGCCUCAUCCUAAGAUGUUUUCAAAAUUUAUUUUCCCUUAAAUUAAUAUAAUUUUUUUUUCAUCCAUUAUAAAAAUUCAGACUUUUUUGUAAAACACUGGGUCUGUUUGGAAAGCUAUACUGUAAUUGAAUUUGGUGUAAUUGAGUGUAAUUACAUUGUUUGUCCUUUUUGAUUGACCAUGUAAUUACCGUAUAAGAUAUAGGGGAGACUGUGAAUCGUUGAUAAUUACAUGGUGUAAUUACAAGCGAAUUACUUUUUUAUUUCUUCUUUUUAUGUCUAUUUUUUUUUAAUUAUUAUUUUAAUUUUUAAUAUUUUCUAAAAGUAUUUUUUUUAAUAGUAUUUAUAUUUCUUUUCGUUCUUAUUCUCAACCUUUAGACUUUUACGUGAUUUCAUGGCAUUUUUUCAUAUUAAUUUUAGGAAACCCAUCACAUAAUUAAGACAAAUAAAUUCUAAUUAUCCGCGUAUUUCCAAAGCGGAUAAAAGGAUAUAAUAGUCCAAUCACACGGAACUCAACGGCAUUCCCAGUAUAUAAUGGAAGCGUCUCCAACCAAAGGCCCCAAAACCAAAACAAGAGAGAAAAAUGGCUUACACCUCUACACUGCCUGCGUGUACUCAUGGAAAACCCAAACUCGCCACACUUUUCAACUCAACAUCCAAAUUAUCCUUUCAAUUUCUUUCAAAAGCCUUCAGAAUCUUGGACUUCUUUCAAAAUCAUCAAGAAAAGUGGCUGUGGGCGUGUUCAAGUUACCGUUGAAGACUUUGUGGGUAAAUUCUUCUUCUUCUUCUUGAAUACUCUCUUUAUUGGAAAUUUCUUGAUUAUUUCCCUUCUUUGAACUUUUGGGGGAAAGGUUUCUUUGUCAAUCUGCUUAUAGUACGUAUUUGUAUUUUCCCUUCUUGAUUUUCUUCCAAGUGUUCGAUUCAUAUUUUUGGAAAUAAUUGCCCAACCCUCACUAGUUCGUUCUUGAUUGAGUAGUAGUUUCUUGAUUUAUAUGUUUAUGGUUCAAUGCUAUUUGUCAGAUGGCCUCAUUAUAUUUUUACGAUUUCUUUUUAAAGGCAUGCUGAUGAAUUUGAUGAAGUAAUGGUUAAGCUACAUGUAAUAUGGAAAAGAAGUAAAACAAAAGAAAAGAAUUAUCAACAACCUCUGUCCGGUCCCCUCCAUGGAAACUUUGUUAGGCAAGAAACUAGUUUCAUCUACCUCAUUUGAAUAUUUGAUUUUUGUGAAGCACUAUCAUCUCUUUCCCUUAAAAUAAUAGGUUUCGGUUCUGGUUGUAGACAUUAUUAUUUGUAUUUUCCCUUCUUGAUUUUCUUUUAAGUGUAUGAUGUGAAAGAUGGGUAUGAAAUUAUCAUUGCUACUAUUUCGGGUACUGGUUCUUGAACAAUUGAACCAACACCAACUAGUUCUUGAUUGAGUAGUAGUUUCUUGAUUUAUAUGUUUGGGAAGCAUGGACAAUUUUGGGUGUUUUUGUUGACUUCGCUAGCUUCUUUGGAUAUCAUGCCUUAAGAAGUCGAGGAUAAAGCGUAAAGCAUCUGUCCAAUGGGUAAUUUUAUUACGGUUCAAUGUUAUUCUCAAAUUGCUCUCAUUAUAUCUUUUACGGUUUUACCUCAGCCAUUGGUCAUUCUGUUUAAAGGCAUGCCGAUAAAUUUGAUGGCGUAAUGAUUAAGCUAGCUACAUGUAAUAUGGAAAAGAAGAAAAAUAAAAGAAAAGAAUUAUCAAGAAUCUCUGUCUAGUCCCCUCCAUGGGAACUUUGUUAUGUAAGAAACUGGUAACCUUCAUUCACCUCAUUUGAAUAUUUGAUUUUUGUGAAGCAUCAUAUCUUUUCCCUCAAAUAUAAUAGGUUUCGGUUCUGAUUGUAGAUUUUAUCAUUUGCUUACUUUCAUUCACAUAGCUAGCCGAGGCCUUAUGUGAAUUGUUCAUUCAUUCUGUUAAAUUAGGGCCCUUCUCCAUGAGAAACACUUGUACCCACAAAACCAUCGUUAUUGUCUAUGAAACUUGUUCUUUUGAAUGAUUAUCAUGUUAAUUGCCAUUUGAUCCAAAUACAUGGUUAAAAUAUUUGAUCUUGAGUUAGUCUUUUUUCGACUUCAAGUGAUAAGAAAAUUAGUAUGAUGUUACUAUCCUUCAGGAAAUGAAUUUUUGAUUGUGUAGCACCCUGUUCCUUUGCCAUAUUUUCUCAAUGACCUUUUCUCCUUUUUUCAUUUUCCUUUACCCUCGAAAUAUAUCAGGUGAAGCAAACUUCUUAGGUGGUGUUGCUUGUGCUAAGCAUGGUUGAAGGAUUUGAUACCGAGGCUGCAAAGAAGAGGUUUUUAAAGAUAUAUCUUUUAAAGGUGAUUGUAAUUUCAUAUAUUUACGAAUAUCUACUCUCAAAGCACCUUCCCUUUAGUCAUGGUAACUGACCCCAGAACUGACAAUUUUAUUGAUAAACUGACAAUCAUUCGUAGUAUGCAAAACCAAAUUCUGGCAUAGGUUUCCCUGGUGCCUUUGACCUUGUCUCUCAGGUAUGUAUAACCUGUGAUGGAACUUGACUUUAUGUUCUUGUUCUUUCUGUUUUUGUUACUUUUCAUUAAUUUGGUGAUAUGGCACAACAGUGUAAAAAGACUGGUCUCAAAGUUGCUGUUGCAUUUAGUGCUGACCGGAUUAAAGUUAAUGCAAACUUGGCUGCAGCAGGUUUACCAAUAACAAUGUGAGUUAAUUGAAUGUGCUUUAACUGUGAAUAGUUGCUUCUCAUUCCUCAUUCGGGAAACAAUGAAUUGUACUGAAUCAGCACCUAGAACGAACUUUAGUCAUUUAAAUUAUCAGUAUAGAUAUGUUUUAUUGUAGAGCACAACCUGAUAUCUACUCCUGUGACACUUGACUUUUUAGUAUAACUUCUGCUCAGGGAACUGCUGGACAUAAACAUUUUGUUGACAUAAUGAAUCUGUUAGUCAUGGAAUCAGGUGCUCAGACUCUCAAAUUUGUGAUCUUUUUAUAUGAUCCUGGGCAAUCCUUCCCUUAUGAGCUAGCUUUUGGGGUUGAGUUAGGCCCAUGGUCCAUUUCUUCACAUGGUAUUAGUGUUAGAUCCAUCGAUCCAUGUUAUUAUGUUUCUCUUUCUCAAUAUUGAUCCCCCGUGUUAUGUUUUCUAGUCCUGGGCACGCCCCUGCGUGGGGUGGGUGGGUGUCUCCUUAUAUGAUUUUGGGUAAUCCUUCCCUUAUGAGCUAACUUUUGUGGUUGAGUUACGUUCAACGUUCAUUUCUUCACGGUAUAUAUGCAAACACACACUAUUCAUUGGUUGAUAAUGUAGUUUGCAAGAACAUAGUACUUUAUUGAGGUUAUACAAGCGAAAGUGUACAACUCGGAUUAAAAUUGCAGGUUUGCAGUGAAAUAAUUGAAAUCUCCCUGCCUUCCUCUCCUUUGUCUUUACUUAUCUUUUUAUUUAUUUAUGACCUCAUAUCCUUUUUCUUUGAUUUGACAGGCUUGAUGCAAUUGUAACGGCUGAUGCUUUUAGAACUUUGAAGCCUGCUCCUGAUAUUUUCUUGGCUGAAUCACGGAUUCUUGAUGUUUCCCACUAGUGAGGUAGUUUCCAGGGUGUGCAAUGCUGCUUUGCUACCACCCAUCUCAUUUUUUUCUUUUUAGACACUUAGCUGUGGGUAGUAUGUGAUGCUAAUCUGAUGAGAAACUUAUAGUUAACUAAGAUAUCACUGAGGUUCACAUUCACAUUAUGUUUAAGUGAGAGUUCCCUACAUCAUUAUUCAUAAAUGACUGUAAUAAUCAGAUGAAGCUAGCUGGAAAAGAAAUUUAAGCAAAGAAGAAACUAAAAACUUGAUAAAUAUGUUAGAAACUUUUAUUUUGUAAAUUAUAUUUCUGGACAGAAAAGAGAUGCUCAGUCGUCAUUCUGUCAGUCAGAACAGUUUUUCUAAAUAUGGAUAUAAAAUAAUGGGGGGUGCAUUAUGAAUUGCUGAAGGUUCAUUGUUCGAGGAUGAUGAAGUUUUGAAGUGUUAAGUAGAUCAGUGUUGUGUUUGUCAACCUUGGUAGACAUUAUCAUAAUCCUCGAUGUUGACAGUGUAUUGUGAUUGAAGAUGCAUUAGCUGGAGUACAAGCUUCCAAAGCUGCAGAAAUGAGUUUUUUUUUAAACUGAAAAAAAAAAACUCAAUUCUGCAGCUUUAGGAGUUUGUACUCCAGCUAAGUUGUUGGUAUCGCCAACCCUACUUGAACUUCCUUCGUUUGUUGCAUCUGCUAACUGAAUCAGCAUCAUUCUAAUGUACCUCUUUGCUUCUGGUUUUAGUGAUCAAUUUUUUCUUUGAUGAAGUGUUUCAUAAAUCACAAAGGCAUCAAGGAGAUGCAUAGUUACAAAAGAGGAGGAGAUGCCAGUUCAUACAAAAAUAACAAAAACAUAAGUCUAAAGAGCUGACAAAUCCAAAGGUUUAUCACAAGACUAAAGAGUUGAUAAAAUCCAAAUAAGAAUCUGGGUUAUAUGGGUAAGAUCAAUCCAGCUAAAAAAGAAUCUGGUUUAGUGAUCAAUUUGAUUCCAUUUUUUCUACAUUCUUAAGUAUGUUGACUUACUUGCAGAUAGCUGUGACAACAACACUAUCAGAAGAUACUUUAAAAGCAGCGGAGCCAUCCCUCAUCAGAAAGGAGAUAAGCGAUAUUUCACUUGAAGAUAUCCUCGAUGGUGACUCUGGUAGCCAUAGUAUGUAGUUAAAUUAACAUGUUAAGAGCUGCCCAUUUUCAUGUACCAUUGACAAAUGUAGAAUGCUGAAGCUCUUUUGUGUUAUUUAUGGAAAAACUUGCGAAUAAGCUCAUUUUUGUAAUGACUCUAUAAUUUGUUGAAGGAUAUCCUGUUCACUGCUCCCCUAAGCUGUAUGCUUUAGCUGCUAACUAUUGUCUUUUUCCUAGUUGAUGGAAAGCUGCUGGUUCUAGUGUUCCUCUAGCAUAUCAUCUGUAGUUAAUAGUGGCUCCCUUUUUUAUGCUUACUAGAAAUGAAUCUAUUGAUGACAAACAAUGCAGAUGUGAUGGUGCAGGAAUCUCAAUCCAUUAAUGAUCUAGCUCUCUCUUCCCCUGAAUCCAAUAUGACAGGGAGAAUCACAGAGCUAGAUAAUUAUCCAAUAAGUGAAGCCUGUACUAAUUAACUCAUUUGGAUCCACUUUUUUCAACUUCUCAGCACACUUUACAGAUUCCCUAAUUGAUGAUGUUUGUUUGCAGAGCAUGCUAGGUCGGAAAAUGCUUGAAUUCAAACUGAGAAGUCUGGUGCUUUCGAUGCUGAAGAAACUAUUAGCUCACACUCAACCUUGACCAAAGCUUCAAACUCUGUGAGAAGUUUUUUGAUAUCUGUGUUAAAGCUUCUAUGCUGGAUAAAUAUUAAGCUUCUUUAUCUUGCCCUGUUUAUUCUAUUACCUUAAAAACUAUUUGCAGUGUGGGCCAGCCAUGGGGAUGAUAUAAGCAUCCAGUAUUCUGGUACUCCAGCUUUAAAGGGAAAUUUUGUCAGGUAACAACUUUCUUGUUCUGCUAAAAGAAGAUGGUAUCAUAUGAAGGCAGCAUUAGUGCAAAGCAUAUUUUUGGGGAGUGCAAUAAUAUAAAUACAUAUGUAGUAGGAUUCAAACCCUGACCAAAGUUCCUAAAUCAACGAACAUUAUAUAACCCAUCAUUGACAUUGGUACUAAUUUUUGGCCAAUUAAAUUCAUAUCAAGAGUAAGCAUCUGGGAUUGGAUCUUUAAAUGCCAACUGCACAAAUUUAUCUCAAGAUCAUGAUGGACAUAGCAUACAACUAAAAAAGUUAUAGUCAACAAGUUGAUUUUAUGACCUCAAGCCUUUUCUUUUGUCGAUCAAUAUCACUAUAAAAUCUACAUUGUUGUUUGAUAUGCAGAUGUGGUCACAGAACAGCCCAGGGGGUUCUUGCUGACGGAUGUAAUGCCCUAACAUGAUACUACUUGAACAAUUUUGUUGAUGGUACUAAACAGGUAAUGAUGCUUCUUACCAGCAAUUAGUUGUUAGGUUUGUACGUCAUGUCAAGUAGGUAACAUUCAUUAUGUGCUGUCACCAGCAACUUGGUUUCAUACUAAUCCGCCAUUUGAAAUUUUGGAAAGCAUUCUUUAAAUGGUACUUAGCUUCAUGUAUGCACGCCAUCUGCAAACUAUUAACUGAACCUAGUAGUAUUAUUUCCAGUGUGCUGCCAUUUUAUUGGAUUAGUUUCUUGUUGACUACUAGGAGAUACUCCCUCAGUUUCAAUUUGUUUGUUUGAUUUUGACUUGACACGGAGUUCAAGAAAAUAAAGAAAGUGUUAAAUUAGGUCUUAGGCCUAACUCACACCCCAAAAGCUAGCUCUUGAGGGGAGGUUUGUCCAAGUCCAUAUAAGGAGACCAAAUUCCCAUCCCUCUACCGAUGUGGGACAUCUUAACAGAGAAUUUUGAAUCUUGUGUUCCUUUCAAGAAAAGGAAAAAAUCAUUCUUUCUAAAACGGACUAAAAGGGAAAGUAAUACAAACAAAUUGUAACAGGGGAGUACUUUAAUGUUUUCCGAGGAAAGAAAGGACUUUGAACUGACACACAUAAUUUCUGCAUUAUUUUGUUCUUAAUUACAUAACAUCUGUUUGCACUACUAAUUGCUAAGGAUGUCACAGAGUGUACUGAUGAAACAUCCAUAUAUAUAUAUAUUACUUGUAUAAACCUAGCUUCAUAAUGCAUACAUGUGUUGCAAGUAUCAGAGUUUACAAUUCUUGUGUUGUUAUGUUCUGUAUUUUGCAUAUCCCACUUAAAUUGAUUCGCAAAGGCGAUGAUUUGGUAAUCAACUUUGUGUUUCAGUGUCUGUAGCAUUUUAAUUAUGAUGGAGAAGGGAGACCCUUCACAGAAAUUAUAUACAAGGAUGCGGCCUUUGGGAAUUUCCAGAUCAGUAUGUUGUUGAGCCUACUGAUGGAUCCUGUGGUUUGUGCUUGGAGAUCAGUUUGCGUGAAUGUGUCUGUGAAACUAAUUGGUUGCUUCUUUUACUCUUUAUAAAUUUCUUCCGGACUUAAAUUAUUUAUUAAGCUAAUGAUAUGUACUUGUUUGCUAUGUUAGAUGAGGUUCCAGAACGCAGUUCGGUUCGUGUUCCCAAAAUUCAGAAAAUAUUUGGUGUUAUGGGCAUACUAAAGCUUUUGGCUGGUAAGAACUUUUAGGAAGAACUAAAAGAUCAGGAAUUUGUUUUUUAUAUUUCAAUAGCAGGUCAGCUCUCUGACAUACAUCAAUAAAUCUUUACAUUAUCAGGAAAAAAUGUCUAUUAUAUUUGCCAAGAAUGUACCCUUUGUGUUGCUCAUUCUCUUGAAGAAUUUUGUUCCAUAAAAUUAUCACACACAUAUACAAAGUAUAUACCAAUGUCUUGGUCUUGUUCAAUUAUGCGUUUGACGGGUAUCUUACAUCUUAGGUAUUGAGCUAAACCAGGACUAUGAAAUUUACGACAAAUUUUAUCAUGACACUGAAAAACAUUUUUUGACUAUUAUCCUUAUCUCAAAAGAAGAUUGAAAAGACAUAACAUGGUAGAAUGUUAAAGGUUGCUCUGAUCUAGUGUGUGCUGCUCUUGCAUUCAGGUUCAUAUGUACUGGUCAUAACGAACCGUGAAUGUGUUGGAUCUUACUUUGGGCACCCAAUCUUCAAAGUUUCAUCGAUGAAAUUUUAUCCUUGCUAUAUCAGUCUCUCAAGAACUCUACUGCUGAAAAGGUAGGUUUCCGAUUUCCUAGUUAAUUUCCUACCCUAUUUUUUUUUUAAUCUCAUGCUGGUGUCUUCUAUUUCUGUUCCUAUGAUAUUGCUUUGGCUUUUGGCAGAAAACAUGGAAGCUCAGUUUGCCGCACUGCUUAAUGUCGUAGAGUGAACUCCUGGUCUGUACUUCUCUUAAUAUGUCAAUAUAACAUUGAGGUGAAUUGUCUUUUCAACCUUCUGACUGCUUGUAUGUUGCCUUUUUUCUUCUUUCCUUGUCUUGGUGUACCAUUAGAAGUUAACUAACAAGCCUAGCUGCUUAUUUCAAUUAAGAACUUCUUAUUAAAAUAAAAUAUUAUCAUUAUAAUACUACUGAAUUGUGAUUUAGCAUUUUGGAGGAUCCUUUUUUCCUUUUUACUCAUUGAAAACCUUUUUGGUAUAGUGGAGGAGAUGGUAUCUCGAGUUUACCAUUAGUAGAAUUUACAUAAAUUUGCGUGAAAAGGGCGUAUCAUCACUUAUUCUUAAACAUAUGAAAUUAACCAGGAACAUGCUGAAGAAUCAGUGAAAUCAUUCACAAACUGUUUUGAUGGAUGUAGUUCUCUGAACUGCACGGCAGAGUAAGUCCACAAAGAGUACACAAAUGGAGCAAAUAUGCUGUAGUCAAUAGUCACUUUCGAUUAGACCUUAUCUAAAAUAGUCACUUAAGAUUCUGUGUGUUUCUGAUAUCUAACUGCUCCAUGCCUUAGUUUUCAUAUCUGAUGACUAGUUGCUGUUUAUGUGAUGAUUAAGGGGACAACAGAUAGCAUAUUGAAACUAUUGAAAAUGAGUACCAAAAACUUGUUCUCCUUGCUCGUCAUCUUUUAGAAGGAUUUUUUCUUCUAUAACAUAAGCUUAUUCACUGUAUCAUAUUUCAAUCAGCAAAGAAGUGUAUCUGAGAGGUAUUGUGAAAAAUAACGAAUUAACAUGGUUCUGCCGAUAGGUCAGAUGACUCCACGGGGAAGAGGAAAUUUUGUGAUCGGUCAUCUCCCGUGGUAACUUUGCACUCUAAUGAUAGGGACAGUCCAGUAGAAAAAAGGAAGUGCAAGAAUGAUAGUCACCUAGUUUCGACAGGUUUGUUAUUCUUCAUUAUCACAAAGACUUACAGUUCUUUAAGCUUCGGAACUUCUCAUUGGAAUGUCACUUUUCAAGAAAAUUUCUUUAAGCCAUCAAUGGACACACUCAUGCUUUAUGUCCUAUAAAGCUGGGGAUGGACCUAAGUUGGUACAAUUGUAGAGACUAAACAUUAUGGAAUUGCUAUUUUUGUGGUCUAACUGUGAAAAGGAAUUGGUAGAUUUCUAAUAAUGUAGUGACAAGAAUAUAUAAUAUAUCUACCAGACUUGUCUAGACAAAAAAAAAAAAGAAGUGCGGGGUGGGUGGGGGUGGAAGAGACUUGUUAUGCAAAGAUACUUCCCACAACAAACUCACACCUCAAAAGCUUACUUGAACUACUCCUGUAUCACUCUUGAUCGUCUCUUUGAUUGGAUAUGAUUUAAAUGCCAAAUAUUUAUUCUAUUUUGGUGUAUAUGACAUGUAUGAAUUCCCUUUGAUGAAGAAAUGUUUUAAGCCAAAAAGAAAACAGGAUAGGAGAUAAAUGAGGGGGAACAGAUGAAAAGUGAGAGAUACAUGGCAUCAAGAUUAAUCUUUGCAGCAAUACAUACUAGAAGUUCUUUUACCUCUUUCAUUAAAAAAAAAAUUACAGAGUAGAAGAUGUUAUUUGCUUCCAUUUAGAAGUCAUCAAUUAACCUUAAAAGACAUGUAUCUAUCCUGGCAUGUCCCAUUCAGAUGUGUGCUAUUUGUUUGGAUCUAAGUUACCCUUCAUGCAAUUACUUGAAGUCUUGAAUUGAUACUAGUCCUUGCAAUGUCUUAAAGUUACUAUCUGUCCAACUUAACCUCAAAUUUGAGUUUGUUACCUCAGGCACUGUCAUAUUUUCUUAGGUCAGGACUCAAAUUGAUCAUAAAUUUUUCUUUCAGUAGGGCCAGAGACACCAGAGCAAAAAUCUCAGAGUUCAUCAACCAACAGGUAUCUGAGGAAACACCUCGGUGCUCCAAUAAGAGGAAGGAGUUCAUAUCAGAUGUAUUUCAAGUUGGAAUGUGAAAGACUAAAGAAAAUACUUGGGGAGAGUUCUGGUUCUAAGAAAAUCAGUGAUAUGGCCAUUAAUGCCUGGAAGACUGACUGAAAAUGACAAAGAGGUACGAUGAAGUACUUGUCAUAUUGUUGCUAGCAGAUUUAAAAUGAUAUGAUUCACCUCCUAUGUUUCUUUAAACAUAAUUUACACUGCUCCAUGUAACAAGUGGGAAGUAAAACUUUUUUCCUUGUUCAUCAUUUCCUUCCAACUUUUGCAGCCUUAUAUUGAAGCAAGUAAGCUGGAUAAGGAAAGAUAUAUCCGAGAACGGCUGCUUAUGAACAGCAUAAGAACAAAGAAACUACAACAAAUCCAAACUUGCACAGGGGUUUGGUCCCGAGUAUGAUCAAUUUUGGUGCACCAUCAGUAAUUGAUCAUGUGACUUCGCAAGCUGACACUGGAAGCAACAUUAUCCCUGAUGCAGCCUUUAUCGAGUCCACUGUACAAAUACCGAAUAAUGGUAAGACAAGUAACCCCAUAUUUCAGUUGCUACCUUGGUGGGUUUAGGAAGAUAUGUAUAGGUUUCUAUCUGUAAGUAUCUUACAACCUUAGCAUGAUGUUUUGGAGAUGUAUAUAGCUUCUAGUCUUUGAAAACUAGCGUGUCAAGAAGCAGCAUUUGUAGGUUAUUGUUGUCCUUGUCGU
rnacentral:lncRNA from 1 species